rnacentral:rRNA from 1 species
GCUGGCGGCGUGCCUAAUACAUGCAAGUCGAACGCUUCUUUCCUCCCGAGUGCUUGCACUCAAUUGGAAAGAGGAGUGGCGGACGGGUGAGUAACACGUGGGUAACCUACCCAUCAGAGGGGGAUAACACUUGGAAACAGGUGCUAAUACCGCAUAACAGUUUAUGUCGCAUGGCAUAAGAGUGAAAGGCGCUUUCGGGUGUCGCUGAUGGAUGGACCCGCGGUGCAUUAGCUAGUUGGUGAGGUAACGGCUCACCAAGGCCACGAUGCAUAGCCGACCUGAGAGGGUGAUCGGCCACACUGGGACUGAGACACGGCCCAGACUCCUACGGGAGGCAGCAGUAGGGAAUCUUCGGCAAUGGACGAAAGUCUGACCGAGCAACGCCGCGUGAGUGAAGAAGGUUUUCGGAUCGUAAAACUCUGUUGUUAGAGAAGAACAAGGACGUUAGUAACUGAACGUCCCCUGACGGUAUCUAACCAGAAAGCCACGGCUAACUACGUGCCAGCAGCCGCGGUAAUACGUAGGUGGCAAGCGUUGUCCGGAUUUAUUGGGCGUAAAGCGAGCGCAGGCGGUUUCUUAAGUCUGAUGUGAAAGCCCCCGGCUCAACCGGGGAGGGUCAUUGGAAACUGGGAGACUUGAGUGCAGAAGAGGAGAGUGGAAUUCCAUGUGUAGCGGUGAAAUGCGUAGAUAUAUGGAGGAACACCAGUGGCGAAGGCGGCUCUCUGGUCUG